rnacentral:lncRNA from 1 species
CAUUUAAUCCUCUCUGGCCCCUUUUCUCCCGGGAUCCAGGCACUCUCAUCUCUGUUGGUGGCCCCAGGAAGUCAGAGCCUCCCACAGAGAGAGCAGAGCUGCAGAGGGCCCCGGGCUGGGGGUGGCAGUCUUGGAUUGGUGCUCGUGUUGUGAUGGUCAGAGCCUCCCCUGCUAUUGUUAGGGACUGUCCAGCCUCUUCCCAAGCCCACUCUCCUGGAGCCUGGUGGAGCUUGCCUGGUGGUCCCAGAAAUCUGCAGCUGGGUGAGACCCCACAGGGAUCCCAUGGCCAUGUCCUGGCUGCCUUGAGUCUGUGAGGCCACACAGCCUCCCACCUGCAUCUCCAGGGCUCUGUCCCUGUCCAGCCCCUGGACCAGCUUCCGAGUCUACUCCUCACCCCAGCCCGGGGACGCCUCAAGCUUCAGGACUCAGUGGGGCACAGUAGCAGUCACGGUAGGCGGCGACCCCACUCUGCUCUCUCUUGGCUCCUGGGAAUACUUAGCUGAGCCUUCUUGGUCUCUGGAAUAGGAAGGAGACCUUUCUGAACACCAUAUCUGUCACCGUAUCCCUUUGGUUGCACAUCGCAAAAAAACUUAUUUCAAUAAGAUACAAGUAUCAGCUCAUGUAACUGAAGUAUCCAGAGGUAGAUGGGGCUUCAUCCAGCGGUUCAGUGUGGCCAGGACCUGUUUUCUGUCUGCAUUUCUCUGCUCCCUCUUCCUUGGUGGUGGCUCCACCUCUAUGAGCAUU